CCUCACCUGCGCAUGUGUCCAGGUGCGGAGCGUUGGCUUCGGCCUCGCUGGUUCACGGCCUGCACCAUCAUCCUGCCGGUACAGCUCACCCUGCCCUGCGAGGUAGAGAGAGAGAGAGAGAGCGAGAGAGAGAGAGAGAAAAAGAGAGAGAGAGAGGAAGAGGUGUUGACACUCCACCGCAGCACAAGCAGCAGUCAAACAGGGAGGAGGAAAUAAAAUGUGAGUGUUGGAGCUGGAAAAGGCUGUUAGAAAGCCUGUAGCACAUGGACUUUUGACCCUCAUGAGGGCUUUAGUGAUUUCCCGUCUCAUUCAACGCCCUCUUCCUCUUCAGGCCGGAGACUAUUAUCUCGAUACUCAUUAUUCUCUCGCUAAUGGGCGCUGACGUCUUCUAAGGAGCGGCCAAACAGACGUGUGUGUGCAUUUUUUCUUUCUACGAAAAGGUACACAGACAUUUCUAUAACAUUUCAUUUUUUUCCAGAGCUCUGCAGCCGUCUGCUCACCUCGGGGUUGCCCGCCAUGAUGGUGUAGUUGCCGUCGUCAUCGAGUGAGGCUGCAGCGGUGUGCAGGGAGCAGGUUCCAUCAGCGUCGCGGCUGAUCCUGUAGUGCUCGCUCCUCUUGGAGAUUUGCUUGCCAUCUUUAAACCAGUAGACCUGUAACACAAGACAGGGACAGAGGGGAACGAUCAGACAAAGUUAGGAUUUACCAGUUCAUCCUGAAGCCUGUCAUCACCAUGCCAUUAAUGUGUACAGAACCAGGCAGGCAGCCCAGGCCAGGCCAGGCCAGUGUGUGUUCUCGCAAGGGGCUUCCCCUUAUCACAACACGGAGCAUAUGUGCAACAUCUACACCCUCCGUCAUCAACAUCACACAUCAGCAACUCCCAAAGCAAAGGGAGCCAAGUCCUGUUUUAAAUGCCUCAAAAUGACCAAAUAUGCAUCUAAUGAUUAGUAACUGCCACAGCAUCCCCACCAACAAUGUUUCAUCAUACAGGGCGAUGACAUUUUUCGGUAAACAUGUUCAACCUCCCACCUUUGGUUUGGGGUCUCCGUGGACCUUGCAGGAGAAGGUGACGGGCAUGCCCUCGAAGACUUUGUAGUGUUUGAGCUUCUGGUCGAAGGAUGGUGCCUUCCCCCGCCCGGCUGAGUCUUCAUCGUGCUGCACAUCGUCGUCUGAUUCCUCCACCGGUGAACGCUCUAGACGGAAUUCAAUCUCACUGAUCAGACGCUGCUCAAAGCUGGACACUUUGUAUUCCUACAUGCCAGAGAAGGAGAACAAAAUGUUUUUAGAGAAAGAAUGAGACAGAAGUUUGUGUGAUCAUGUGGGAAGGGACAACACAUUCAAGAGCGUGCAGAAAGCUAUCACUGAAACCCUAUUUUCCCUAUUCUACAUUUAACACACAAUCAUGAACCUGUCUUGAUUGUCAUCCAAACUGGCAACUUUCUCCCAAUUUCCUAAUUCCUCACUGCCCCUACUCCUCCUUCCCACCACCUCCAUCAAUCUGUCAUCACUGUAGCUCUGCUGAGGCAGAGGGAACAUCUGCAGGGCAACAUGGUCCAAUGACACAUCACACAGAUAAUGACAGGCCUUGGGAACAGCUGCAGAACCAGCAUUUAUCCUCAAUCUGCCACUCAUAACGGCAGCAAUCACAGAAGUGGCCCAUCCUGAUCUCUUGAGGUAUCAUCCUGCAAUAGCGCAGAGGCAGCUGCUGCAGCAUGCUCUAAAAAUCUAACAAAGUAUUAUUCAAUUAUCCUUGCUUUCUAAAAAGAUUUAACUUAAUUGCUGGCUUAAAUCUCAAAUGCAAAUUAAAGUUGCAGCAUGCAUCGCGUGAUGGACACAGACGGAACAAAGUGCAACCUGUGUGAAAACGUGCCGCAAUCAAGCUACAACAUGCGCACACCUGCCUGUGAAUGGACUACACAAUGAAUAUGGAACCGCAGGGACCAAAAAAUAAAAUUCCGUGUCGCUGCCUUUUGUGUGCCACUUGUUCCCUUAUCAGCUAAUCCCCAGGCCUGAUCCUGUUUUCGCCAGAGUGAACGCAUCCUAGCUUUUAGUGUGACUCUGUGUGCACAUUUACACACAAGGGGACAGAGAGAAACAAAGCUUUCAAACACCUUUUGAGGGAAAUAUUCUCUAUCAGAUGACUCGUCUUCCUGUGGAGAGAAACAGUUGUUUUUUCUAUGUUGUACUCUACUGUUACUGUGCAUCACACAGGGUGGCAAACACGUGUGCGUUGUUUAAAUUCACAUGAUGUACUUGUAAAAUUGUAAAAUACGACGUCUCACGAUGCGUUGGUACAGAUGCAUUCCCGGGCUUAGAGUUUGUGCUCAGAGCCAUGCAGUGCUGUAGUGCCACAACCAAUCAGAUCGCUUCUCAUGCCAACAGGCACACGGAGAUGACACGUGCAGACACAACUUGUGUUCUAGUGGUGUUCAUUACAUCUGCAUUGUGACUUCACUUAUGAGUCAAAUUUCUAUAUUUAUUUAUUACUCUUGGGGGAAUUGUUUGGUCUCUGUAAUAUUAUUUGACAUUAUGAAUAAAAUUUAAUUGAAAUUGAA